GGGGAUUUAGCUCAGCGGUAGAGCGCUUGCCUAGCGAGCACAAAGCCCUGGGUUCAGUCCCCAGCUCCG
rfam:Rattus norvegicus chromosome 12, whole genome shotgun sequence.